GUCCACGCCGUAAACGAUGUGUGCUAGACGCUGGAAGACCUAGUCUUUCGGUGUCGCAGCUAACGCUUUAAGCACACAGCCUGGGGAGUACGGCCGCAAGGUUAAAACUCAAAGGAAUUGACGGGGGCCCGCACAAGCGGUGGAGCAUGUGGUUUAAUUCGAUGCAACGCGAAGAACCUUACCAGCCCUUGACAUGGGAAGUAUGGGACGGAGAGAUCUGUCCCUUCAGUUCGGCUGGCUUCCACACAGGUGCUGCAUGGCUGUCGU
rnacentral:rRNA from 1 species